GACGAACGCUGGCGGCGUGCUUAACACAUGCAAGUCGAGCGGGAAACUUCGGUUUCCAGCGGCGGACGGGUGAGUAACACGUGGGCAACCUGCCUCACAAUGAGGGAUAGCCUUCCGAAAGGGAGAUUAAUACCUCAUAACACAAGAGAAACGCAUGUUUCUUUUGCCAAAGAAUUUCGUUGUGAGAUGGGCCCGCGGCGCAUUAGCUAGUUGGUGAGGUAACGGCUCACCAAGGCUUCGAUGCGUAGCCGACCUGAGAGGGUGAUCGGCCACAUUGGAACUGAGACACAGUCCAGACUCCUACGGGAGGCAGCAGUGGGGAAUAUUGCACAAUGGAGGAAACUCUGAUGCAGCAACGCCGCGUGAGUGAUGAAGGUCUUCGGAUUGUAAAGCUCUGUCUUCUGGGACGAUAAUGACGGUACCAGAGGAGGAAGCCACGGCUAACUACGUGCCAGCCGCCGCCGUAA
rnacentral:rRNA from 1 species